GCCUCUGACUAGUCCAAACCUCAUCUCCAAGAUUCACAAUCACUCAACCAAAACAUUUGCAAGAGCCAGUAGAGGUGAUUGAAAACUAUUUUUGGCACAAUAGCUGGCGUACCGUAAGGGAACUCUGAAAAAGAAAGAAAAACAAGCACGACAAAGCAGAGAUUUAACCUCGUACCUCUUGCAUCAUGGUUUAGCAAGAAGCCACCAACAAGCAGAACCGCAGUUGGCCUUCCCGAAAUCAAGUGAGCUACUUCUAAGCAGCCAACCGGGCCCACCCCCCUCUGUAGCAAAAGAGCGGGACGACUUGGAAGUAGGGGUGAAACGCCAAUCGAACUUGACGAUAGCUGGUUGUUCAAAAAGGGAUCUAAGUCCCCCUUUGGGCAUUCUAUCCUAAACAAAGAUCUAACCGAAGGUAGUCUUUAGGGGGUCAGCUCUAAAGAUGUGGGGUACAACCCCCUGCUGAGAGAAGAAUCAACCUAAAAAUCCGUAGGCUUCAAAGCAGCCACCAGUAAAAAUAGCGUCUAAGCAGAAUUUUAAAAAAUACCACCACCUCUAGUUUUCUCCAGCAAGCUAAAAGAACAAUCCUAUUAACAUAGGAACUCCUAUGCUAAAACUACUAAUACGGAUCCUCCUCCUAGCACAUCUUUUUCUCAUCCAUUUGACAAUUAACAGACCAAAAAAGGAAAGAAACACGCUCUUCACUAUUCUAACCUCACUGUAAGUCCAACUCUGAUGUGCAAAAUUAAGGUCGAAAGUCUUAAAAGGAACUCGGCAAACACGAACCCCAACUGUUUACCAAAAACAUAGCCUUUAGCUAUACAAGUAUUAAAGGUACUGCCUGCCCAGUGAAUUUUUUAACGGCCGCGGUAUCCUAACCGUGCAAAGGUAGCGAAAUCAUUUGUCUACUAAUUAUAGACCAGUAUGAAGGGCCACAUGAGGGUUUAACUGUCUCCUAAGACCAACCUAUAAAACUGAUCUCCUAGUUCAAAAGCUAGGAUAAUACUAUAAGACGAGAAGACCCUGUGAAGCUUAAAAAAGCCUAUUAAAACAACUAAUAGGUACUUUUAGUUGGGGCAACUUUGGAAGACAAACUAACCUCCAAACAAUCUAAAAGACUGACAAGUCAAAAAAUGACCCAGUAUAACUGAAAAAUGGACCAAGUUACUCCAGGGAUAACAGCGCAAUCUUCUUCAAGAGCCCAUAUCUAAAAGAAGGUUUACGACCUCGAUGUUGGAUCAGGACACCCAAGCGGCGCAGCAGCUGCUAAAGGUUCGUUUGUUCAACGAUUAAAGUCCUACGUGAUCUGAGUUCAGACCGGAGAAAUCCAGGUCGGUUUCUAUCUAUAAACUGACCUUUCCAGUACGAAAGGGCCGAAAGGUUAGAGCCAAUGCAAAAUGUACGCUCUAAAAACCAGGGGAAAAAAAAUAACCCCCGAAUAGAGUAAUAAAAACCCCCAGACAAGGGGUUU
rnacentral:rRNA from 1 species